rnacentral:rRNA from 1 species
AGUGAACGCUGGCGGUAGGCCUAACACAUGCAAGUCGAACGGCAGCACAGUAAGAGCUUGCUCUUACGGGUGGCGAGUGGCGGACGGGUGAGGAAUACAUCGGAAUCUACUUUUUCGUGGGGGAUCACGUAGGGAAACUUACGCUAAUACCGCAUACGACCUACGGGUGAAAGCAGGGGAUCUUCGGACCUUGCGCGAUUGAAUGAGCCGAUGUCGGAGUAGCUAGUUGGCGGGGUAAAGGCCCACCAUGGCGACGAUCCGUAGCUGGUCUGAGAGGAUGAUCAGCCACACGGGAACGUAGACGCGGUCCAGACGCCUACGGGAGGGAGCAGUGGGGAAUAGUGGACAAUGGGCGCAAGCCUGAUCCAGCGAUACCGCGUGGGUGAAGAAGGCCUUCGGGUUGUAAAGCCCUUUUGUUGGGAAAGAAAAGCAGCAGGUUAAGACCCCGCGGUUCUGACGGUACCCAAAGAAUAAGCACCGGCUAACUUCGUG